rnacentral:rRNA from 1 species
UACGUAGGUGGCAAGCGUUAUCCGGAAUUAUUGGGCGUAAAGAGCGCGCAGGUGGUUGAUUAAGUCUGAUGUGAAAUCCCACGGCUUAACCGUGGAGGGUCAUUGGAAACUGGUCGACUUGAGUGCAGAAGAGGGAAGUGGAAUUCCAUGUGUAGCGGUGAAAUGCGUAGAGAUAUGGAGGAACACCAGUGGCGAAGGCGGCUUCCUGGUCUGUAACUGACACUUAGGCGCGAAAGCUAGGGUAGCAAACGGGAUUAGAUAUCCCGGUAGU